AACGCACGAGACCUGCGGACCUGCGGAGGGAUCAUUACAGAGUUUUCUAAACUCCCAAACCUUUGUGAACUUACCACUGUUGCCUCGGCGGAAGCUAUUGGGGUUACCCUGUAGCGACCGCCGGUGGACCAACCCAACUCUUGUAAUUUUGAGAAAUCUGAGAGUCUUAUACAAAUAAGUCAAAACUUUCAGCAAUGGAUCUCU
rnacentral:misc_RNA from 1 species